rnacentral:rRNA from 1 species
UACAGAGGUCUCAAGCGUUGUUCGGAUUCAUUGGGCGUAAAGGGUGCGUAGGUGGCUGUGUAAGUCUGGUGUGAAAUCUCGGGGCUCAACCCCGAAACUGCACCGGAUACUGCAUAGCUCGAGGACUGUAGAGGAGAGAGGAAUUCACGGUGUAGCAGUGAAAUGCGUAGAGAUCGUGAGGAAGACCAGUUGCGAAGGCGUCUCUCUGGGCAGUUCCUGACACUGAGGCACGAAGGCCAGGGGAGCAAACGGG